GCGGACAGCAGCGGCAAUUCACCGAGUACUGAAAUUCAUCAUUGUUCCUGUUUCAGUUUGACUCUUGCGGAUGCGUCAAACACCACUUUCGCAGUUGAUCUUUCUUCCUUCAUAACAGCAUGUGGUAAACACUUCUUCGUGGUAUGGACACUUCACUCUGCAUCUUCCAUCUGCACUCCAACGAGUGGUUGCUGCAAAUAUUUCUUCGCGUGGC